rnacentral:rRNA from 1 species
UACAGAGGGUGCAAGCGUUAAUCGGAAUUACUGGGCGUAAAGCGUGCGUAGACGGUUGCGUAAGUCAGAUGUGAAAGCCCCGGGCUCAACCUGGGAAUUGCAUUUGAGACUGCGUAGCUAGGGUGCGGAAGAGGGAAGCGGAAUUUCCGGUGUAGCGGUGAAAUGCGUAGAUAUCGGAAGGAACACCAGUGGCGAAAGCGGCUUCCUGGUCCAGCACCGACGUUCAGGCACGAAAGCGUGGGGAGCGAUCCGG